UGUUCAUACUGAACAUGGUGAAUGCGAAAGCGUUGCUUGGGAUACUCUUUAAUCACAGUGUUUCUGAUUUGUGUGAGAUUGAAUAGAGGUCAGAGCCUGUAAAUAGCACACUCAGAAAAACACGUUAGAGUACCACAAUUGUUCAUAUAAAAAGGUUAACUUGUAAUCAUCAAAACAUAGAGUUGUACUACUAGAUCAAAACUUGAUCUUACAAAGAAUAUAUUUGAUGCGUAAAGAUAUGAAUUUAUCUAUCAUAUACAACUAUGUAACUCAUAAUUCAACAUAUGUAUUUAUAUCAAUUUUCUUAAUUUUUUUAGGGGACUAAUGAUCUACACCAUGCUAAUUCAAAUGAUGUACCCAAAAGAAAGUUAAAUAUAUCAAAUGGAAGAAGAUGAAGGCAAUUACAAAUUCCAGACCAAUAUAGGUAAAACAACCAUGAAGUUAACACUUUAUUUUCUUUUGCAGAGUCCUAAACAAAAAAAAUUGAUAGAUUGUGGCUACUAUGUAUUGAAAUACAUGAGGGAUAUAAUCAUUGCUGGAGACUCACAUACCUUACAAGAGGUGAUUAUAAGACUGGAUGCAGUGCCUCCUUCAGUGAAGAUCAAGUGGAUGAAAUAAGAGAGGAGUGGUCGUUAUAUUUGUUUCAAAAUUUUAUUAUGAAUAGAGGGGGGGGGGUGAUACUGAACAUAUUGUUGGUUUAUAGAGAUAGGAAGUCUUUUGGAUUUUUAUGAGCAAGCUAUUGGAGAAUUUAGUUGUCAUCUUUUUGUAUCGUACUUACUCUUUCAUUAUUAUAUGUGUAGGUGUAUACACUUAAUAUGUAUGUUUAUUUUAGUCUAUUUUGUUUGACAACCUUAAAAGAUGAACUUUGUCAUGUUUUAUUGUA